UGGAGAUAUUGGGAUUUCGGAGAUGUCUGGAGCGUUUGCUUCAGGCAGGAGUUGUAGUAGAUACCAUCACCACAGACCGCUCUCCUUCUAUCAGGAAGCUUAUGAGAGAGACCUACUCUGACAUCCAGCAUCAGUUUGACCCAUGGCAUGUUGCCACAGGACUGAAGAAAAAGUUGACUGCGGCUGCUAAAAAUAAGAAAAACAAUGAUCUGCUUCCUUGGAUCAAGGCAAUUAAUAAUCACUUUUGGUGGUGUUGUCAGUCAUGUGGUGGUGAUGCUGAGGAAUUGAAACGUCAAUUCUGCAUCACAUUUGUGGCAUCCAUCGGUGGGAGGAAGAUGGAGAGGAGAGGACUUACUACCAUCAAGAACUCACUGAAGAUCAGCAGAGAAGAAAGAAAUGGCUGCAAACAGACUCUGCUGCUUUCAAUACACUGUCAGACCACGUACUUAACAAGAACCUGUUGAAAGACCUCAAACACAUGACUCUCUUCAAACAUACAGGAGACCUGGAAGUUUACCACAGUGCAAUGCUGAAGUACACUCCGAAGAGGCUACACUUCAGCUACAACUCUAUGAAGGCACGUACUCUACUCUCUGUGAUGGACCACAACGAGAAUGUUGGCCGUCAGCAAGCAAAAACCACUGAUGGAACUGCAAGAUAUGAUUUGGUCUUUCCGAAACAAAUAAAAAGAUGGUUUGCCAGGAAAAGAUACGAGACAACCAGGCAGACAUUCAGGAAGGAUCUUGUGGAGCGGGUCCUGCAAAGGCGCCAGUACCGUGAAGUUUGCAGAUCCUAAUUCUUAUAUCCAGCAACCAGACACCAUAUACAAAAACAUAGCCGACACUUCAAGACCGGACAAAGAUAAAAUUAUAUCACGGCAUGUCUCACGAUUUUCAAAUACAAGCAGAAAAUAAAAGCCUAACUGUAUCUUAUUGUGGUGCAAAAUACUGUGCCACCAUUUGUAAAAACACAAGGUCAU